UUGCUACGGAAUAACGCAGGGAAACUUGUGCUAAUACCGUAUGUGUCCUUCGGGAGAAAGAUUUAUCGGCAAGAGAUGAGCCCGCGUUGGAUUAGCUAGUUGGUGGGGUAAAGGCCUACCAAGGCGACGAUCCAUAGCUGGUCUGAGAGGAUGAUCAGCCACAUUGGGACUGAGACACGGCCCAAACUCCUACGGGAGGCAGCAGUGGGGAAUAUUGGACAAUGGGCGCAAGCCUGAUCCAGCCAUGCCGCGUGAGUGAUGAAGGCCCUAGGGUUGUAAAGCUCUUUCACCGGAGAAGAUAAUGACGGUAUCCGGAGAAGAAGCCCCGGCUAACUUCGUGCCAGCAGCCGCGGUAAUACGAAGGGGGCUAGCGUUGUUCGGAAUUACUGGGCGUAAAGC
rnacentral:rRNA from 1 species